rnacentral:rRNA from 1 species
UACGUAGGUGGCAAGCGUUGUCCGGAGUUAUUGGGCGUAAAGCGUGCGUAGGCGGUUUGUUAAGUCUGUUGUGAAAUCCCCGGGCUCAACCUGGGAAUGGCAAUGGAUACUGGCAAGCUAGAGUGUGAUAGAGGAUGGUGGAAUUCCCGGUGUAGCGGUGAAAUGCGUAGAGAUCGGGAGGAACAUCAGUGGCGAAGGCGGCCAUCUGGAUCAACACUGACGCUGAGGCACGAAAGCGUGGGGAGCAAACAGG